rnacentral:rRNA from 1 species
ACACCAGCACCUCAAGUGGUCAGGAGGAUUAUUGGGCCUAAAGCAUCCGUAGCCGGCUCUGUAAGUUUUCGGUUAAAUCUGUAUGCUCAACAUACAGGCUGCCGGGAAUACUGCAGAGCUAGGGAGUUGGAGAGGUAGACGGUACUCGGGAGGAAGUGGUAAAAUGCUUUGAUCUCUCGAUGACCACCUGUGGCGAAGGCGGUCUACCAGAACACGUCCGACGGUGAGGGAUGAAAGCUGGGGGAGCAAACCGGAUUAGAAACCCCGGUAGUCC